rnacentral:rRNA from 1 species
AGUGAACGCUGGCGGUAGGCCUAACACAUGCAAGUCGAACGGCAGCACAGUAUGAGCUGGCUCCUACGGGUGGAGAGUGGCGGACGGCUGCGGAAUACAUCGGAAUCUACUUUUUAAUGGGGGAAAACGUAGGGAAACUUACGCUAAUACCGCAUACGACCUACGGGUGAAAGCAGGGGAUUUUCGGACCUUGCGCGACUGAAUGAGCCGAUGUCGGAUUAGCUAGUUGGCGGGGUAAAGGCCCACCAAGGCGACGAUCCGUAGCUGGUCUGAGAGGAUGAUCAGCCACACUGGAACUGAGACACGGUCCAGACUCCUACGGGAGGCAGCAGUGGGGAAUAUUGGACAAUGGGCGCAAGCCUGAUCCAGCCAUACCGCGUGGGUGAAGAAGGCCUUCGGGUUGUAAAGCCCUUUUGUUGGGAAAGAAAAGCAGCAGGUUAAUACCCCGCUGUGCUGACGGUACCCAAAGAAUAAGCACCGGCUAACUUCGUG